rnacentral:rRNA from 1 species
CCUACGGGAGGCAGCAGUAGGGAAUCUUUCACAAUGGGCGAAAGCCUGAUGGAGCAACGCCGCGUGCAGGAUGAAGGCCUUCGGGUUGUAAACUGCUUUUAUAAGCGAGAAAUAUGAUGGUAACUUAUGAAUAAGGAUCGGCUAACUACGUGCCAGCAGCCGCGGUCAUACGUAGGAUCCGAGCAUUAUCCGGAUUGACUGGGUGUAAAGAGUUGCGUAGGUGGCAUAAUAAGUAGCUAGUGAAAUCUGGUGGCUCAACCAUUCAGACUAUUAGCUAAACUGUUAAGCUCGAGACCGUUAGGGGUAACUGGAAUUUCUAGUGUAGGAGUGAAAUCCGUAGAUAUUAGAAGGAACACCAAUAGCGUAGGCAGGUUGCUGGGACGGUUCUGACACUAAGGCACGAAAGCGUAGGGAGCAAACGGGAUUAGAUACCCCAGUAGUC